rnacentral:rRNA from 1 species
GUCGUGACUGCGUGCCUUUUGAAGAAUGAGCCUGCGAGUUUGCGGUGUGUUGCGAGGUUAACCCGAGUGGGGAAGCCGUAGCGAAAGCGAGUCCGAAUAGGGCGAUUCAGUAGCGCGCUCAAGACCCGAAGCGGAGUGAUCUAGCCAUGGGCAGGUUGAAGCGGAGGUAAGACUUCGUGGAGGACCGAACCCACCAGGGUUGAAAACCUGGGGGAUGACCUGUGGUUAGGGGUGAAAGGCCAAUCAAACUCCGUGAUAGCUGGUUCUCCCCGAAAUGCAUUUAGGUGCAGCGUCGUGUGUUUCUUGCCGGAGGUAGAGCACUGGAUAGGCGAUGGGCCCUACCGGGUUACUGACCUUAGCCAAACUCCGAAUGCCGGUAAGUGAGAGCGCGGCAGUGAGACUGUGGGGGAUAAGCUCCAUGGUCGAGAGGGAAACAGCCCAGAGCAUCGACUAAGGCCCCUAAGCGUACGCUAAGUGGGAAAGGAUGUGGAGUCGCACAGACAACCAGGAGGUUGGCUUAGAAGCAGCCACCCUUGAAAGAGUGCGUAAUAGCUCACUGGUCUAGUGAUUCCGCGCCGACAAUGUAGCGGGGCUCAAGCGUACCGCCGAAGUCGUGUCAUU